rnacentral:rRNA from 1 species
UAACGGCGAGUGAAGCGGCAACAGCUUCAAAUUUGAAAUCUGGCGGCCUCUGGGCCGUCCGAGUUCGUAAUUUGAAGAGGAUGCUUUUCGGCGAGGCGCCUUCCGAGUGCCCUGGAACGGGACGCCACAGAGGGUGAGAGCCCCGUAUGGUUGGACGCCGAGCCUCUGUAAAGCUCCUUCGACGAGUCGAGUAGUUUGGGAAUGCUGCUCAAAAUGGGAGGUAAACCCCUUCUAAAGCUAAAUACUGGCCAGAGACCGAUAGCGCACAAGUAGAGUGAUCGAAAGAUGAAAAGCACUUUGAAAAGAGAGUUAAAUAGCACGUGAAAUUGUUGAAAGGGAAGCGCUUGCGACCAGACUUGUGCCCGUCGAAUCAGCCGCCGCUCGCCGGCGGCGCACUUCGGCGGGCUCAGGCCAGCAUCAGUUCGCUGCAGGGGGAGAAAGGCGGCGGGAAUGUGGCUCUUCGGAGUGUUAUAGCCCGCCGCGCAAUACCCCUCGGCGGACUGAGGACCGCGCAUCUGCAAGGAUGCU